ACACGUAGGGGCCUGACGUUGUUCGGAAUCAUUGGGCGUAAAGGGCGCGCAGGCGGCCGUCCAAGUCCGGUGUUAAAUGGUCGGGCUCAACCCGAUCAUGCGCUGGAAACUGGGCGGCUUGAGUCCCGUAGGGGAUGCCGGAAUUCCAGGUGUCGGGGUGAAAUCUGUAGAUAUCUGGAAGAACACCGAUGGCGAAGGCAGGCAUCUGGCCGGAGACUGACGAUGAGGCGCGAAGGCGCGGGGAGCGAACAGGUUUAGAUACCCUGGUAGUCCGCGCAGUAAACGAUGCGCACCAGGUGUCGGGCGGCAGCGCCCGGUACCGGAGCUAACGCGAUGAGUGCGCCGCCUGGGGAGUAUGCCCGCAAGGGUGAAACUCAAAUGAAUUGACGGGG
rnacentral:rRNA from 1 species